CAAUAUAAAGCUUGUAAAGUUUUUUAUUUACAUUAAAAAGGAAAUUAUUAAUUUAAUUUAUAUUGA
rnacentral:tRNA from 1 species